rnacentral:rRNA from 1 species
GGAUUUAUUGGGUUUAAAGGGUGCGUAGGCGGUUUGAUAAGUUAGAGGUGAAAUUUCGGGGCUCAACCCUGAACGUGCCUCUAAUACUGUUGAGCUAGAGAGUAGUUGCGGUAGGCGGAAUGUAUGGUGUAGCGGUGAAAUGCUUAGAGAUCAUACAGAACACCGAUUGCGAAGGCAGCUUACCAAACUAUAUCUGACGUUGAGGCACGAAAGCGUGGGGAGCAAACAGGAUUAGAUACCCUGGUAGUCCACGCAGUAAACGAUGAUAACUCGUUGUCGGCGAUACACAGUCGGUGACUAAGCGAAAGCGAUAAGUUAUCCACCUGGGGAGUACGUUCGCAAGAAUGAAACUCAAAGGAAUUGACGGGGGCCCGCACAAGCGGAGGAACAUGUGGUUUAAUUCGAUGAUACGCGAGGAACCUUACCCGGGCUUGAAAGUUAGCGACGAUUCUUGAAAGAGGAUUUCCCUUCGGGGCGCGAAACUAGGUGCUGCAUGGUUGUCGUCAGCUCGUGCCGUGAGGUGUCGGGUUAAGUCCCAUAACGAGCGCAACCCCUACCGUUAGUUGCCAUCAGGUGAAGCUGGGCACUCUGGCGGGACUGCCGGUGUAAGCCGAGAGGAAGGUGGGGAUGACGUCAAAUCAGCACGGCCCUUACGUCCGGGGCUACACACGUGUUACAAUGGUAGGUACAGAGGGCAGCUACCCAGCGAUGGGAUGCGAAUCUCGAAAGCCUAUCUCAGUUCGGAUUGGAGGCUGAAACCCGC